CCUGCCGCGCUCGCCGCCUCUUUGUCUGCUCCGGGACUGGAACAAAAGGGGAACUCUGAUGAACUCUCUCUCCUCCCCUCUCCCCGGACGCCCGGGUAUCUCCCUCUCGCAACUUUGCCUACGCGACUUUCUCUGCUGUCAGGCCACCCAAAAAGUGUCCGAGCGCCUCGCCGGCUGCGACCAGGGAAAUAAUGUCUGUCCAAAGUGCGACCAAGUGGGGAAGAAGGUGUGAUUAAUUGUGAACCUCUAAAAGCAUCACGCAGUGGCUGGAGAACCUCUGGGAAGACCUUCUGGGUUCUGCAUUGUUCUUACUGGAUCUACCCGUGCACCCCCUGCAAGUGCCAGCACAUCAGCUCCUUCCUGGAAGGGAAGCCAUCAGACCUCUUCAUUUGGAGUUGCUUCAAAGUUACAUUGCUGGGACCUGGGGCAAUGCCUUCCCUAUGUGGAUUACUUCAUUCUGAUGCCUGGGAAUUCUCCACCUGGAAAGCACCCCAGUGACAGUGGACGAUCCAACACAUCCAGCAUAUCCAGGGAACACGCUGAAGAGAGGAGGUGAGGAGCGUCUUCCUGGCUGCUCCCUGCCCUCAGCCCUGGCUCCGGCACCUCUUCCGGGUGGCAUUUGUUCCCGCGAGACCCUUGGACCUCGGAGACCGUAGCCUUCUGAAAGCAGAGCCUUCGGGCUGGGUAAGGUAAAACCACCUGGUGUUCUGUUAUCUCUGCAGAAAUCUAGGUCUUGAUUUGGAUGUUUCUGACAAGAUCUUCAGGCUCAGACUCUGUAUCAACCUCAACAACUCCAGGCCCGCCUCUCGUCCCGGUUGAGGGUGCCCAGAGGCUGCAGGUAUGUGUGCGCCUUGGCAACGCGCUCCCAUGUGGCUUCCCGUGCAAACACCGAGCACCGCAAACUGCCCCAAGCAGAGCCCACUUCCCUUACCGGCCGCGAGUGUGCAGCAGUUACACCAUCACCGACGUCGAUCAAGGGAAACCCGCAGGCGGAGUCACACGGUUGGAGCAGGUGUGUGAGCCCAGGGCUCCGACAGGCGCACGGGAUCCGCGCGGACCUGCGCAUCUCGCUCCAGAUGGCAGUUAGCUCGCUGUGCGGGCUGUGCCCGCGGUUGCAGGGCCCUCCGAGCCGGCUGUGCCUGGGACAGGACAAGGAACUGCAGCAGCUCGGCGGAGGGAGCGGGGCCUGUGUGCCUCAGCUGCGAUGCCUGACCUUUCCUCCCUGACUUGCUAAGUGGCCUGGAGAAGAAUCUGGAAGAGCCAGAGUCUUCUUUUCUUCCUGUGGUGCUUUGCAGCGAGAACAUCUCUUGCAGUGAGAACACUACUCCUUUAUAAUAGUAAACACGAAAAUGCCAGCAUUCGCUGAUUUACUGAGACCCAGGGGAGAAAGGCAAGGUCCGUGCAUAGGUGUACAUCACUCUGUGAAACAGAAAUGUACAUGCAUGUGUAUAUACACGCAUGCAUAUGUACAGACUGGUGUGCACACGUGUAUGGGCACGCAGGCAUGUGUGUAUAGCAGGAACUGCACACCAAAGCAAAAUUCAAGUGAGCCCUGAGCCAAAGAGAGAGUAUGAACAUCUAAGACAGUUUCAAGUGCCUGGUGAUAAGGUGAAGGUUUUCCUAAGAAAAAAGAAGAAAAAGCAACCUGAGCAUCUCAUUUUAAAACAGAAUUCGUCUGCUAUAGAUGGAACUUUAGGAAAUUGCCACCAAACUUUUGAGUUAUCUUAAUUUUAAAAAAAGAUGGAAACUUUAGCUAGGAAUUCAAUAUGUGUUGUACCUUUUACAAAGUUCUUAGUCCUCCAAAGUACUAGCACCUGUUCUUGGAUACCUACUUUGAA